AUGCUGGAGGUAUCAGAAGUGCGAAUGCUGACAUAAGUAACGAUAAAGCGGGUGAAAAGCCCGCUCGCCGGAAGACCAAGGGUUCCUGUCCAACGUUAAUCGGGGCAGGGUGAGUCGACCCCUAAGGCGAGGCCGAAAGGCGUAGUCGAUGGGAAACAGGUUAAUAUUCCUGUACUUGGUGUUACUGCGAAGGGGGGACGGAGAAGGCUAUGUUGGCCGGGCGACGGUUGUCCCGGUUUAAGCGUGUAGGCUGGUUUUCCAGGCAAAUCCGGAAAAUCAAGGCUGAGGCGUGAUGACGAGGCACUACGGUGCUGAAGCAACAAAUGCCCUGCUUCCAGGAAAAGCCUCUAAGCAUCAGGUAACAUCAAAUCGUACCCCAAACCGACACAGGUGGUCAGGUAGAGAAUACCAAGGCGCUUGAGAGAACUCGGGUGAAGGAACUAGGCAAAAUGGUGCCGUAACUUCGGGAGAAGGCACGCUGAUAUGUAGGUGAAGNAGCGCAAGCGAAGCUCUUGAUCGAAGCCCCGGUAAACGGCGGCCGUAACUAUAACGGUCCUAAGGUAGCGAAAUUCCUUGUCGGGUAAGUUCCGACCUGCACGAAUGGCGUAAUGAUGGCCAGGCUGUCUCCACCCGAGACUCAGUGAAAUUGAACUCGCUGUGAAGAUGCAGUGUACCCGCGGCAAGACGGAAAGACCCCGUGAACCUUUACUAUAGCUUGACACUGAACAUUGAGCCUUGAUGUGUAGGAUAGGUGGGAGGCUUAGAAGUGUGGACGCCAGUCUGCAUGGAGCCGACCUUGAAAUACCACCCUUUAAUGUUUGAUGUUCUAACGUUGACCCGUAAUCCGGGUUGCGGACAGUGUCUGGUGGGUAGUUUGACUGGGGCGGUCUCCUCCUAAAGAGUAACGGAGGAGCACGAAGGUUGGCUAAUCCUGGUCGGACAUCAGGAGGUUAGUGCAAUGGCAUAAGCCAGCUUGACUGCGAGCGUGACGGCGCGAGCAGGUGCGAAAGCAGGUCAUAGUGAUCCGGUGGUUCUGAAUGGAAGGGCCAUCGCUCAACGGAUAAAAGGUACUCCGGGGAUAACAGGCUGAUACCGCCCAAGAGUUCAUAUCGACGGCGGUGUUUGGCACCUCGAUGUCGGCUCAUCACAUCCUGGGGCUGAAGUAGGUCCCAAGGGUAUGGCUGUUCGCCAUUUAAAGUGGUACGCGAGCUGGGUUUAGAACGUCGUGAGACAGUUCGGUCCCUAUCUGCCGUGGGCGCUGGAGAACUGAGGGGGGCUGCUCCUAGUACGAGAGGACCGGAGUGGACGCAUCACUGGUGUUCGGGUUGUCAUGCCAAUGGCACUGCCCGGUAGCUAAAUGCGGAAGAGAUAAGUGCUGAAAGCAUCUAAGCACGAAACUUGCCCCGAGAUGAGUUCUCCCUGACCCUUUAAGGGUCCUGAAGGAACGUUGAAGACGACGACGUUGAUAGGCCGGGUGUGUAAGCGCAGCGAUGCGUUGAGCUAACCGGUACUAAUGAACCGUGAGGCUUAACCUU
rnacentral:rRNA from 1 species